rnacentral:rRNA from 1 species
GGGGAUCUGCCCGAUAGAGGGGGAUAACCACUGGAAACGGUGGCUAAUACCGCAUAACGUCGCAAGACCAAAGAGGGGGACCUUCGGGCCUCUCACUAUCGGAUGAACCCAGAUGGGAUUAGCUAGUAGGCGGGGUAAUGGCCCACCUAGGCGACGAUCCCUAGCUGGUCUGAGAGGACGACCAGCCACACUGGAACUGAGACACGGUCCAGACUCCUACGGGAGGCAGCAGUGGGGAAUAUUGCACAAUGGGCGCAAGCCUGAUGCAGCCAUGCCGCGUGUAUGAAGAAGGCCUUCGGGUUGUAAAGUACUUUCAGCGGGGAGGAAGGCGAUGCGGUUAAUAACCGCGUCGAUUGACGUUACCCGCAGAAGAAGCACCGGCUAACUCCGUGCCAGCAGCCGCGGUAAUACGGAGGGUGCAAGCGUUAAUCGGAAUUACUGGGCGUAAAGCGCACGCAGGCGGUCUGUUAAGUCAGAUGUGAAAUCCCCGGGCUUAACCUGGGAACUGCAUUUGAAACUGGCAGGCUUGAGUCUUGUAGAGGGGGGUAGAAUUCCAGGU